rnacentral:rRNA from 1 species
GACGAACGCUGGCGGCGUGCUUAACACAUGCAAGUCGAACGAUGACGACCGAGCUUGCUCGGUCUGAUUAGUGGCGAACGGGUGAGUAACACGUGAGCAACCUGCCCUUCACUCUGGGAUAACCUCGGGAAAUCGGGGCUAAUACCGGAUAUGAGCUCCUGUCGCAUGGCGGGUGUUGGAAAGUUUUUCUGUGAAGGAUGGGCGCGCGGCCUAUCAGUUUGUUGGUGAGGUAGUGGCUCACCAAGGCGAUGACGGGUAGCCGGCACGAGAGGGCGACCGGCCACACUGGGACUGAGACACGCCCCAGCAUCCAACGGGAGGCAGCAGUGGGAAAUAUUGCAAAAUGGGCGAAAGCCAGAUACAGAGCCGCCGCGUGAGGGAUGACGGCCUUCGGGUUGUAAACCUCUUUCAGCAGGGAAGAAGCGAUAGUGACGGUACCUGCAGAAGAAGCGCCGGCUAACUACGUG